AAUUACCCAAUCCUGACACAGGGAGGUAGUGACAAGAAAUAACAAUACAGGGCUUAAAGCCUUGUAAUUGGAAUGAUGGGAAUCUAAACCCUUCCCAGAGUAUCAAUUGGAGGGCAAGUCUGGUGCCAGCAGCCGCGGUAAUUCCAGCUCCAAUAGCGUAUAUUAAAGUUGUUGCAGUUAAGAAGCUCGUAGUUGAAUUUCUGCCUUGUCAUUAAUCUCGCUUCCGAGCGUUUUUUAUUGACUUGGCAUCUUCUGGAUUUGGUGCCUUCGGGUACUAUUUUCCAGGAUUUACUUUGAGAAAACUAGAGUGUUUCAAACAGGCAUUCGCCUUGAAUACUACAGCAUGGAAUAAUGAAGUAGGACUUUGGUUCUAUUUUGUUGGUUAUUGAGCCAGAGUAAUGGUUAAUAGGAGCAGUUGGGGGCAUUCGUAUUUAA
rnacentral:rRNA from 1 species